rnacentral:misc_RNA from 1 species
AACCUGCACUUAAUUUCUUCAAAGUGGUUGAUUUACAUUCAUGCUCACUUCCAUAAUUCCCGCAUCUGUUACCUAUUCAUGUCUUUGCAAUUUCCUGGGAUUCUAGAUUCUACGUCCAGAAAAAGUAAUAUUAAACAGAAUAAUAAAAUUGAUUAACAACUAUAGCUCCCAAUACCAGAAUUCAAAAUAUGCUAAACCAAGUCAAAAGCUUUCAAGUAUAGUUCCGUACUUCCAAAGCAAUCAAAUGAUUACAAUUGCUUAAAUAGAAGAGGAAAACACCAGAAGUUGCAGAUGAGAUGCAUGUGCAACUGAGGCACUUCCAGUUCCAUUAGGCCAAACUUCUAGGGUGACUCGCUGCCUCUUGGGGCACGGCGGUUGUCCUCAUAAUCAUCAUCAACAGGGCUCCUGUCAUCCCUAGGACUGGGACUGGGACUGCAGCUGCGGCCAUUAGUUUGAGCUGGACUUCCAUACCUCCCAUCUCCAGGGCUCUGUCUUUCAGGGCUUCUGCUCCCCCUUGGGCUACCACUAUAUUCUGAUCUCUCUUGCUGGUCAUCCAGUUUCCGAGCUUUGGCAGAAGGGUUUGGGCUGCCUUCAUCAGGCGUUAUGCUGUGGUUCCUACUCUUGGAGGGCAGACCAUUCUUUGGCUCAUGGCUCAGGGACCUGUCAUCAUUCUCAACACUUGGCUCUCUCUUUGGUGGUGGAGAUCUUGACCGGCUGUAACUUCGACCUCGGCUGUAACUUGGGCUACGACUUCUGCCACGGCGAGGAGAGUGCGAUCUAGCUGGUGAUCGGGAAUAACUCCGACCACGCCUGUAACAUAGGGAGAGCAGGCAAUAACAAAUUAAGGGCACUUAAUGCAUUGAACAUCUGCAGGGAAUGAUUUCCUCAAAAACGAAAUACACAAACCAAAACAGGAAUACAGGAUGGUGUUGGAUAAAUCUAGAGAAAAUGAGAUUACCUCAGUUUCUUGGGACUGUUCUUGCAGUUCCUCUCUAUAUGGCCCCCCUCUCCACACCGAUAACACUUGUUCUUCCAGUCUCCAGCUUUGCAAUCUCGAGCCCAAUGGCCAUCUAUGCCACAAUUAAAGCAACGUCCAGAUCCUGGAGGAGGACCUCUGCCCAAAUAUUCUCGAGAACCACGAGGUACCUAACCACACAGUAAAAAAACACAAAUUUCCCUUUCAUUAAUUAUUAUCAACAAACUUCAUAAAUGGAAAAGUGAAGAACUAAAUCAUAUAAUUUGUAGAAGCAAUCUUUGUAACGUAACAUGAACAAUAAUAAAAAUUUCAGAAAUCCUUCCUUCAAUUUUUCCAUAAAACAACAAUGGAUGAUUUCAAUCUUUAAGCCAACAAAUAUUCUACCUAAAGAAAGAUUAAGUUAAAAAACCUACCCCCUUUGCAAAUUCCACAAUGAUACGGCUGCCAUCAAACUCCUUACCAUCCAAGUGAUAUCUUGCAUCAUCAGCAUCACGAGGAUCACUAAAUUCCUGUUUAGAAAUGUAAGAACACAAACCAUAAAAGCACACUAUAUUUUGCACAACAUAUCUAUAUAGCAAAUAAAAUUACACGUGCUCAAUCAAAGCUUUGAAGACCUAAUGCCAUGGAAAACACAAGGAAAAACACUUACAACAAAUGCGUAGUCACGCUUCAUAUCCACAUCUCGUACUCUGCGAAACGGUUUCCACAAACAGUAAGGCCAUCAUUACUUAAGUACUGCAAGUGUAUGAUACUUCACCCCUCAUAGACGAACUAAACACCAGUUUGAGAUUGUUGCCAAUUCCAUAAAAACACGCAAUAACAUAAUAGAAAGUAUCGCCAAACUCUCCUAUAACUCUGGCAAGAAUUUCCACCAAUUCCACCAUGGCAACCCUCUCACCAUAGGCCUCCAGGUUAGGCAAAAGCCCAGAAACCUUCAACAAGAUCAUUCAAGUUAAAAAAAACAUGACACCUAGGGCCACAAGAUUCCCACACAGAUAACGUGACAGUUAACACAAAACAAGCUGCCGAGGAGCUAUUUGUCCUAUUUUCAGGAGGCUAAUUGCAUACCCUAUGACCAAUAAUUGAUAAUCCAAGGAUUUAUUCAGCUAAACGAAUAAGCAGAAAGAUAAUAAUCAGGGAGCUGCAUAAGAUAGAAAGGCAUACUUAAAAUGGCAUUUAGGAAAGGCUACGGAGCUCAUUUGGAGGAGCUAUUGCAACUGGUUAAGAAUAAAUAGAACACUUGCGACUGUUUCUAGGCAGAAAACAAUAUACACCACUCUGAGCCAAUAAACCCAAAAAUUUUAACAUUCAACUAGAGUUUACCUUCCAUAUUUGCUGAAGAGGUAUUCAAGGUCUCGUGACCUUGUGCGAGAUGCCAGGUGACCAACAUAGAGACGUGUAUUGGCAUGUCGAUCGUCAUAACGCGGCAUUUUCAAGCUGCAGCAAAUAGAAUAUUCCAAACAACGUUUUAAUGAACAUCUGGAAGCAAAGUUCCUAGUUUCUUCAAUUCGACACCAGAAAAAGCCUGACCAUUAAACAAUUCAGCAAUAAUGGGAGAAGCCAACAAAAAGCAAUUGAAACCAGGACUUUUUUUCAAGAAUAUAAGACAUCCCUAAACAAAUUUAAACACUUCCCAUCCUACGCAAGGAGAUGAAUUGGCAUCUUUUCCCAAAAAGUUUGAAGAAGGGGAAGGAGAAGAAGUCCUAAUGGUGGACAAAAACAUAGCCAUAAAAAUCAAACUCAGCUCCAUAUGAUUACAGAGUGAACCCAAUAUACAUACAUACAUGAUAGGUUUAAAAAAGUAGCCCUUCUUGAAAUCAAUUGCUCAAGGUUUUAAGUGAGAGAGAAAGAGGCAAGGAACAUAUGUGCAGAUAGACCUCCAAAGCGAAAGGUAUCAAGAGGAAAGCGAACAGAUCUAUAUAUCAAAAUCUUGAUUGAAAACCCAAAAAGAGAGAGAGAGAGAGAGA